UACGGGGGGGGCUAGCGUUGUUCGGAAUUACUGGGCGUAAAGGGCUUGUAGGUGGCCAACUAAGUCAGACGUGAAAUCCCUCGGCUUAACCGGGGAACUGCGUCUGAUACUGGAUGGCUCGAGUGUGGGAGAGGGAUGCGGAAUUCCAGGUGUAGCGGUGAAAUGCGUAGAUAUCUGGAGGAACACCGGUGGCGAAGGCGGCAUCCUGGACCAUAACUGACACUGAUAAGCGAAAGCCAGGGGAGCAAACGGG
rnacentral:rRNA from 1 species